CGGGUGAGUAACGCGUGAGGAACCUGCCUCAAAGAGGGGGACAACAGUUGGAAACGACUGCUAAUACCGCAUAAGCCCACAGCUCGGCAUCGAACAGAGGGAAAAGGAGUGAUCCGCUUUGAGAUGGCCUCGCGUCCGAUUAGCUAGUUGGUGAGGUAAUGGCCCACCAAGGCGACGAUCGGUAGCCGGACUGAGAGGUUGAACGGCCACAUUGGGACUGAGACACGGCCCAG
rnacentral:rRNA from 1 species